rnacentral:rRNA from 1 species
UUCCGGUUGAUCCUGCCGGAGGCGACCGCUUUUGGAGUUCGAUUAAGCCAUGCGAGUCGAGAGCCUUAGGGGCUCGGCAUACUGCUCAGUAACACGUGGAUAACCUGCCCUAUUGUCUGGAAUAACCUCGGGAAACUGAGAACAAGGCCGGAUAACCCACAAUACCUGGAACGGUUUGUGGGUGAAGAUAGGAUGGGUCUGCGGCGUAUCAGGUCGUAGGGGGUGUAAUGGACCUCCUAGCCAUCGACGCGUACGGGUGUUGGGAGACAUAGCCCGGAGAUGGAUUCUGAGACACGAAUCCAGACCCUACGGGGUGCAGCAGGCGCGAAAACUUCACACUGCAGGAAACUGUGAUGAGGGAACUCCAAGUGCAUGCACUAUGUGUAUGCUUUUCUUAACUAUUAAUCGGUUUUGGAAUAAGGGCUGGGAAAGACCGGUGCCAGCCGCCGCGGUAAUACCGGCAGCUCAAGUGGUCGUCGCUUUUAUUGGGCCUAAAACGUCCGUAGCCUGUUUGGUAAAUCUGUGGGUAAAUCAACCAGCUUAACUGGUUGAAUUCUGCAGAGACUGCCAGACUAGGGACCGGGAGAGGUGUGGGGUACUCUAGGGGUAGGGGUAAAAUCCUGUCAUCCUUAGAGGACCACCAGUUGCGAAGGCGCCACACUGGAACGGAUCCGACGGUCAGGGACGAAGCCUAGGGGCACGAACCGGAUUAGAUACCCGGGUAGUCCUAGGUGUAAACGCUGUGAACUUGGUGUCGGGGAUCCGUAAUGGGUUCUCGGUGCCGGAGUGAAGAUGUUAAGUUCACUGCCUGGGGAGUACGGUCGCAAGGCUGAAACUUAAAGGAAUUGGCGGGGGAGCACUGCAACGGGAGGAGCGUGCGGUUUAAUUGGAUUCAACGCCGGA